UGUUAUCCGACACUGUUGCCUCCGGGGCGACCCGGCCUUCGGGCGUCGGGGCCCCGGGUGGACCAUCCAAACACUGCAUCUUUGCGUCUGAGUACACGAUUGAAUCAAUCAAAACUUUCAACAACGGAUCUCUUGGUUCUGGCAUCGAUGAAGAACGCAGCGAAAUGCGAUAAGUAAUGUGAAUUGCAGAAUUCAGUGAAUCAUCGAAUCUUUGAACGCACAUUGCGCCCCUUGGUAUUCCGAGGGGCAUGCCUGUUCGAGCGUCAUUUCACCACUCAAGCCUGGCUUGGUAUUGGGCGCCGCGGUCCGCCGCGCGCCUUAAUGUGUCCGGCUGAGCCGUCCGUCUCUAAGCGUUGUGGUAACCUAUCCGCUUGCGAGAUUGGGGGCGUCUGGCCGUUAAACUCAUCCAAAGGUUGACCUCGGAUCAGGUAGGGAUACCCGCUGAACUUAAGCAUAUCAAUAA
rnacentral:rRNA from 1 species